rnacentral:rRNA from 1 species
AGAGUUUGAUCAUGGCUCAGAACGAACGCUGGCGGCGUGGAUAAGACAUGCAAGUCGAACGGGUUUACUUUUGUAGCAAUACCGAAGUAAAUCAGUGGCGCAAGGGUGCGUAACACGUGGGCAACCUGCCCUGGAGACUGGGAUAGCCCGCCGAAAGGCGGAUUAAUACCGGAUGCGGCUACCGAAGGAUUCUUUGGGACGCUAAAGGUGGCGCAAGCUACCGCUCCUGGAUGGGCCCGCGGCCUAUCAGCUAGUUGGUGAGGUUACGGCUCACCAAGGCGAUGACGGGUAGCUGGUCUGAGAGGACGACCAGCCACACUGGAACUGAGACACGGUCCAGACACCUACGGGUGGCAGCAGUCGAGAAUUUUUCUCAAUGGGGGAAACCCUGAAGGAGCGACGCCGCGUGGAGGAUGAAGGUCUUCGGAUUGUAAACUCCUGUCAUUGGUGAACAAGAUUUUGCCGUUAACUGCGGUGGAAUUUGAUAGUAGCCGAAGAGGAAGGGACGGCUAACUCUGUGCCAGCAGCCGCGGUAAUACAGAGGUCCCGAGCGUUGUUCGGAUUCAUUGGGCGUAAAGGGUGCGUAGGCGGCGGGGAAAGUCUGAUGUGAAAUCCUGGGGCUCAACCCUGGAACUGCAUUGGAUACUUCCUUGCUAGAGUACUGGAGAGGAAACUGGAAUUUACGGUGUAGCAGUGAAACGCGUAGAGAUCGUAAGGAAGACCAGUGGCGAAGGCGAGUUUCUGGACAGUUACUGACGCUGAGGCACGAAGGCCAGGGGAGCAAACGGGAUUAGAUACCCCAGUAGUCC